CUGUCAUGCAGGUCCAGAUGAGAGGUGUACUUCUGUUCUGUCUGCUGCUGGGUCACAUUCUGGUUGAAGCUGGAAAACCGGUUUCUUUGUGGCCGUUAGGAAGCAGGCGACCACUUGAGAAUGAUGCGGGGUUCGAGCCAAAAGAUGCGCCGUCUCCAAUGCACUUAAUUUCAGUGAACAUUGGACUUGGAAAUGAUGCAGGGUUUGGAUCUGAGGAAACUACAGGAAAUCAGAUGACACCUCCAAAUUCCACCACACCAGCGGAAACCAGCCAGUUGACUUCAUUCGUUCUUUCAUUAAUUAAUGUAUUAUUUAACUGACUCAUGAAUUAAUCCACCAAUACUUGUCAUUUCUUCAAAUAAAAAGACUACAUGUA